rnacentral:rRNA from 1 species
AGAGCGAACGCUGGCGGCAGGCCUAACACAUGCAAGUCGAGCGCCCGUAGCAAUACGGGAGCGGCAGACGGGAGAGUAACACGUGGGAACGUACCCUUUGGUUCGGAACAACACAGGGAAACUUGUGCUAAUACCGGAUAAGCCCUUACGGGGAAAGAUUUAUCGCCGAAGGAUCGGCCCGCGUCUGAUUAGCUAGUUGGUGGGGUAAUGGCUCACCAAGGCGACGAUCAGUAGCUGGUCUGAGAGGAUGACCAGCCUCAUUGGGACUGAGACACGGCCCAAACUCCUACGGGAGGCAGCAGUGGGGAAUAUUGGACAAUGGGCGCAAGCCUGAUCCAGCCAUGCCGCGUGGGUGAUGAAGGCCCUAGGGUUGUAAAGCCCUUUCGGCGGGGAAGAUAAUGACGGUACCCGCAGAAGAGCCCCGGCUAACUUCGUGCCAGCAGCCGC